UAAAAUAUGGAUACCAUGUCUCUAGUAUUUAAGGAUAAAGCGAUAAACAUGCAGAUGGGGCCAUUAAUGAACAUUAAUUGCUUUAAAUUAGGUUUUAUUGUGCAGCGGGUAAAUUGGAAAGUACACAUUUGCAUUGGUAAUAGAAAAUUAAUUUAAAUGCUUCAGGAAGCAAAAUAUCACCUGAUGUGCUAAAACCUGUUAUUUGCAGUAGACGUCAAAGGAAACUUGAAGGGCACUAUGUAUUAAAAUAAAAUAAAAUAAGCUAUGCUGGAGGUACACAUAUGUGAACACCUCCUUGAGUGUACACCCUGACAGCUACUGAGUUUGCCUAGGCCAGGAUAGCUCCAGAUGGGAAUUGGUUUAAUGUUACGUGUUUAUUGCACUGUGUCACCAAAGCAUGGUGGUAAUGUAAUGGUGCACAUGAAUCCGAGUGGAGCCCUCAGGAGGUCAUUGAAUCCCUGCUUCUCCCUGCAGGAAGGACAUGUUGUCUUGACAUCUUCCAGAACAAAAUGCUGCCUACCCAGUCUUGUAAAUGCUUGGAGGGACAAUGUGUCUCCCCGUUCUAGUGGCCCGUUUCUAGCUGGGACCCAUCUGGGCUCACAUCAAGAAAUCUCUCUCUCAUGCCUCCCUUAGUCUCUGCAGAGGUGGUUUAAGCCUGUACCUUCUUAUUUAGUUUCUGAAGAGUUGGUAACCAAAGGAUAUGCGUGAUUUGAUGGUUCUCCAAGUUUCCUUUGUUACGAAGGUAACCUUUGUCUUUUCUUUAACACUUAAAAAUUUCUUUUCAUACCACUAUUUUGCUCUGAAUGCUGCUCUGAAAAUGAUAUUAUUUUAAAAUAUUAAAAAUUCUCUAAUAAGGGAGGUACAUUAUAAAGACCUUUCAUUUUAAGAAAGAAAAUAGUAGGAAAUUGUCAUUAUAGCUAUUCUAUUGACUCAGCCCAUGGUUGCAGCUCCUUAAAAUAGGGUAGAGGAAUAGGGUUGGGAGGAAGAGCAGAAAAUUGAGCCUUAAGUAGCAUAGAAUACACCAUUGUGGGGUUGGGAAGACAAAUUGAAGCUGGAGACUUAAAAUUUGAAAGUCAUCACUUUAUAGAUUAUUUUCAAAGCUAUGGGAUUGUCUGAGAUCAACUAAGGAGUAAAUGUAGAAAAUGAAGUUACUAUAGAAAGAACUGAGCCCUUGGGGCACUUUGGCAUUUUGAGGUCUGAAACGAAGGGGAGGAGUCAAUAAAGAAGACUUAGAAGAAGUGAGGCCAGAGCUGAAAUAGGAAAGUUGGGAGAAUGCGGUGUCCUGGAAACCAAAUAAAGAAAAUGCUUUAAGAACAUGGAAGCAGCCAGCUGUGUUUAAUGUUGCUAAGAGGUCGAAUCAGAGGAGGUCCUUGUUGACCUUGGCAAAGUCAUUUUUAGUGGUGUAAUAGGGACAAAAUCUAUUUGAGAUAAUUUCAAGGGAGGUUGGUGGAUAAAAGGCAGAGCUAGUGAAUAUAGACAUCUUUUCCCCAGGAGUUUAGUAUAAAGAGAAAUGGAUAGGGUGAGAGCAGAAGGGACUGUGAGAUCAAGAGUAAAGUCUCUUAAGCCAAUGAGAUCUUACAGCAGGAAUGUGUUCUAGUGGAAAUAAUUCGUAGAAGAGCGAAAUGAGAGAAAUAGUGGUUCUAGAGAGAAAGGAACUUUCAGGCAGAGAAUAGUAUCCAAUACACAAGUGGAGUAUUGUUCCUAGAUCCAUCCAGGGAGAAUUGUCUGUUGUUAUUGGAUAGAAGUCACAUAUGGACUUCCCAGGUGGUGCUAAUGGUAAAGAAUCCACCUGCAAAGCAGAUGUAAGAGAGAUGGUUUCGAUCACUAGAUCGGGAAGAUCCCCUGAAGGAGGACAUGGCAACCCACUCCAGUAUUCUUGCCNNNNNNNNNNNNNNNNNNNNNAGCCUGGUGGGCUGCAGUCCCUGGGGUCACAAAGAGUCAGACAUGACUGAGGUGACUUAACACAUGAAAGGCACGUAUAUGGGUACAGAUGGAGGAGGUUUUGAGAUUUGGCUCAUUAAAUAAAAUCCUGAACUGCUCUUUUUAUAUAUUUGAGUCAGAUUUUGUUUCAGGUAAUCAGAUAUUUUCCCAAGGCUUUGAUUAAUCCACUGAUGCUUGAAAAACUGUUGUGUCAAAUGAGUAAUGAGCAGCUAACAGAAAUGGAAAAUGCCGUGCUAUUUGUGCAGCCUAAAGAUCUUGUAUGUGCUUUCUGCCGAGCAUAGCUGCCUG
ensembl:lncRNA